GGCAAUGAGGGGGCAGGAGCGGCGGGAAGACGGUGGGGGAAAGCGUUGUCCGGAUUUAGUGGGCGGAAAGAGCGUGUAGGCGGCCAGAAAGGGCAGCUGUGAAAACGCGAGGCUCAACCUCGAGACGUCGGUUGAAACCGUCUGGCUAGAGUCCGGAAGAGGAGAGUGGAAUUCCCGGUGUAGCGGUGAAAUGCGCAGAUAUCGGGAAGAACACCCGUGGCGAAGGCGGCUCUCUGGGACGGUACUGACGCUGAGACGCGAAAGCGUGGGGAGCGAACAGGAUUAGAUACCCCGGUAGUC
rnacentral:rRNA from 1 species